ACAUAAACUUGUUCGGUGAGAUUUUUAAACAAACAUAGUCUAUUGAGCAGAAAUGGCGGGUUAAGGCUUCUCAUAAAAUGGCUAAGAAGCAAUUCUUCACGUUGUUUAAUGUUAAAUAUCAGAUGAUGAGAUAGGAG
rnacentral:sRNA from 2 species